GUGGGAAUGUGGAAAGGUGGCUCCAGGGCCUGAGCAAAAAGGCGGCUCCAGUCAGAGCGAAGGCGGUGCCAGCAGCCAGGAGAGGAAGAGAGAGACAGAAACAUCAAUGAUGAGAGAGAAUCACUGAUCGGCUACCUCCUGCAUAACCCCCCACUGGAGAGGGAGCCCACAACCCAGGCAUGUGCCCUGACUGGGAAUCAAACCAUGACCGCAGCCACUGAGCUACGCCAGCCAGGCCCUAUUGCGGAAAGAGAUGGUGUGCAGCUGGAGAGAGAAAUGGUCCAUUCCUCCCUUGUUCCUCUCAUCACAACAUGCAAGUGGGUUUUUGGUGGCUGUUGGUCAACCAUGCUGUCUAAUUACUGAUCUGAAUGGUUCUGAAGAUUAAAAAAUAAAGUUCUUCGUUGAGUUUAAUGAAUUUGGAAGAUAUCCAACUGGCCAAGUUUUCCCUUUCUAACAUGAAUUAAGAGUCA